GCGGAUAUGGCGGAAUUGGCAUACGCGCAAGACUAAGGAUCUUGUGAUAGAAAUAUCUUGCAGGUUCAAGUCCUGUUAUCCGCACCA
rnacentral:tRNA from 1 species